rnacentral:tRNA from 1 species
GGAGAUACAGCUCAGUGGCAAAGUGCCUGCCUAGUAUGCAUGAGGCCAUGGGUUCAAACUCUAUCAUCACCC